rnacentral:rRNA from 1 species
AUAUUACUAAGCGGAGGAGAAGAAAUUAACAAAGAUUGCCUUAGUAAGGGCGACUGAACCGGCAAGAGCUCAAAAUUGGAAUCGAAAAUUCAAAGAAUUUUCGAAUUGUAAUCAGGUUCACCUAAAUACGAAAAUUCGCUUAAGUACGUCGAAUCGUGCGCCAUGGAGGGUGAAAGCCCCGUGUAGCGUUUUUCGAGUAAGGUGCGCCCCACAAGAGUCGGGUUGCCUGGAACUGCAGCCCUAAGCGGGAGAUAUGAAUCUUCCAAAGCUAAAUAUGGAUGGGAGACCGAUAGCGCACAAGUA